rnacentral:tRNA from 1 species
CCUGAUAGCUCAGUUGGUAAAGUAUCUGCCUGAAAUGCAGGAGAACCUGGUUCAAUUCCUGGGUCAGAA